UACGUAGGGUGCAAGCGUUGUCCGGAAUUAUUGGGCGUAAAGAGCUCGUAGGCGGUCUGUCGCGUCGGCUGUGAAAACUCGGGGCUCAACCCCGAGCCUGCAGUCGAUACGGGCAGACUAGAGUGCGGUAGGGGAGACUGGAAUUCCUGGUGUAGCGGUGAAAUGCGCAGAUAUCAAGUGGAACACCAGUGGCGAAGGCGAAUCCCUGGAAAAUACCUGACACUGAGGCACGAAAGCUAGGGGAGCAAACAGG
rnacentral:rRNA from 1 species